GGACCCGACUGCUAUCGGAUUGGGACUAAGCCAUGCGAGUCAACUCCGCAAGGGGUGGCGCACGGCUCAGUAACACGUAGUCAACCUACCCUAGGGACGGGGAUAACCUCGGGAAACUGAGGCUAAACCCUGAUAGGCUAUAGCCUCUGGAAUGAGCUAUAGCUGAAAUCUAUAUGGCCCUAGGAUGGGACUGCGGCCGAUCAGGUAGUUGGUGGGGUAAUGGCCCACCAAGCCUAUAACCGGUGCGGGCUCUGAGAGGAGGAGCCCGGAGAUGGGCACUGAGACAAGGGCCCAGGUCCUAUGGGGCGCAGCAGGCGCGAAACCUCCGCAAUGGGCGAAAGCCCGACGGGGUUAGUCCGAGUGGCCCCUGCUGAAGGGGCCUUUUGCCAGCUGUAAAAAGGCUGGCGAAUAAGGGGUGGGCAAGUUUGGUGUCAGCCGCCGCGGUAAUACCAGCACCCCGAGUGGUCGGGACGAUUAUUGGGCCUAAAGCAUCCGUAGCCGGCUUAGUAAGUCCUCCGUUAAAUCCAACGGGCUUAACCGUUGGGCUGCGGAGGAUACUGCUAAGCUAGGGGGCGGGAGAGGCGAGG
rnacentral:rRNA from 1 species